ensembl:lincRNA
UCAGGUUUCCAUUGUGGAGGAUGUAAGUGAGCAAGAACAGACCAUAGAAAACAUUUAUUAUCUUUGUUUUGAAUAUUAACAAACGCUUUCUUAGGUUUUAUUUCUUUUGGGAAAUCAAUAUAAGAAGAAGCUUGAAGAGGAUCUGAUUUUAAGAUGUGUACAUCGAAAAAAAAAUUUUUUAAUAGCAAAUCCACUACCAACUACAGUGUUAUCAACAUCUUGUUCUUGUCUGGAAUCAUCAUAAACAUCACAUCUUACAAAAUCUUGAAACAAUAAGAUAAAGUGAGGGUUUGUUCUCAUAUAGGGAGUAGUUUCAUCACCUUCUCUCACCAGAUCAUCAAAACACACUCUCCAGCUUCUGAAGAAGAACUCGACCUUUUUCAUUUGAUGUUGGAUGUUAUCUGUGAGGGCUUCAACAGUUUUGGUGCCAAAAAGAACCUCCCCAAGGACAUUGUGGCAUUCAUGGAGCAACAUUGCCAGGAGAGACAUUACACUUAUCAGGUCAGGAUAAUCUCAAACUUGGGUGAGGCUGAAAAAUUAAAAUCUCAUUUAAAUAUUGUCCUCUCUUAAGCAGAGCAGAGUAAGCCAAUAGUUAAACCUGUCUUCCUCAUUUCAGGUGAAGAAAUGCACGGAUGACAACUGUGGUUACUGCUUUAUGAAGUCUGACAGACUUCAAUGAAGUUCAUUUCCUGCCGGAUCCUAUGUUGAACAAAGACAGUGGAGAAUUUAUGCCAUUUGUGGAAGUGUAUGGUACACCGACUGAUGACAGUUCAAGGCCAUCUUUGAAGGGAAAAGCACAAGUGACUGAAAAUGACAAGAAAAACAAGGCCAUUCUGAUAUCAGCCAAAGUUCGUAAAACUAUCAAUUGCUGUGAGUGUGGCCGCAGAAGGUUGGUUUACAGUCCAAAGAAAGUUACUGGUGGUGACCUGCGAGCCCUUCAGUGCCUGAAGGAAGAACUUUCAUACUCUUGUGGCACACUGUUCCCUCCAGACUCAAGUUACCACAAGAUGAUUGUGAAGGAAGCUCAAAAUUGUGAAAUGCCGAUGGAAGCAGCUUACUAUGCUGGUAUCACUAGCAGGUUUGAUCCAGUUUGCUAUCACUGUGGUGAUGACGAAGAUCUUGACGACAGUGAUGAAAUGAGGAAGUUGCAGGAGUAUGGUAUUGUGUGGCCGAUAUGUACAGCUUGCUUGGCGAGAGGGAAACAACCAGAAGUGCGAAACCAGAGGAAGGUCAAUGGAGAGAAACAACGCAAGAAAUAACUGUAUGUACUGUGGUGAUGCUAUGUGUAGCAGCCUGGGUUCUGAUGCCAUUGAAGUAUCCCCAUGUGCUUGAUGUGACAGUGAACUAUUGUUGAACACUUGAAAAAUUGGACUACAUGAAAAAUUAGAUAUUGAACUUUAUUUUUAUUUUUCAAACUGUUUUUUUGCCAAUGGCUUUAUAUUGCAGCGGGAUGUGAUAUUCCUGAUGGUCUUUUCUGUUUGAGGUACCAUUACUGCUUUUCUGAUUUUUCUUAAAGAUGUGUUUUCAUAGCCAUUGUUUUUAAUAAAACAGACAAAUUUUUGCAAAACCUGAAUGAGAUUUUGCUCUGCGAGAAUGAUCUUUCAGUCUACAACUUGGACGGUAAUUUUCUCAGCAUUGUUACCAUUUGUUUGAUGAUCCAACAGGUUUUGAUAAGAAAAACAUGCCAGACUAUAUUGUAAAAACAAGUUUUAAUCCUUCUUUAUUGUUUUUCACAUCAGAUGAUACAGUGAACAUGGGCAUCCUGCAUUUUAAUGGUCUUCCAUCUUCAAUGUUUUCUUAGAUCCUUCUGGUCCGGGAUUUAUAUUUAUUUUCCCCCCACCUACCCUUGUCUUUUCCAUGGAACAUCCGAAAAACAAAUCAUAAAAAUAUAUAAUUUCUGAAAAUUGAAAUUAUAUUUAUAUUUAUAUUUCGACCCACCGACCCUACAUUUUCGCUAAAGAACUGCAUAAACCAAGUUAUAAAAUAACUAAGUCCUAAUUAGUGAUUACUUUAUUAGUUCCCACACACAACAUGUUUAUGUAAUUUUAAAAAAUUGCUCCACCCACCCAAGCCCCACCCACACAAGCCCCACCCACACAGGGGGGGGGGGGGGGGGGGGGGGGGGGGGGGGGGGGGGGACCCACACAAGUUCCACCCACCCUCACAAGCCACACCCACACAAGCUCCACCCACACAAGCUCCACCCACCCAAGCCUCACCCACACAAGUUCCACCCACCCUCACAAGCCCCACACUCACAAGCACCACCCACACAAGUUCCACCCACAAAGGUCCACCCACAUAAGCCCCACCCACACAAGCUCCACCCACACAAGCUCCACCCACACAAGCCCCACCCACACAAGCUCCACCAACCCACAGAAGCCCCAACCACCCACCCACACAAGCUCCACCAACCUACACAAGCCCCAAUCUCCCACACAAGCCCCACCUGCCUGUGCUCUCCCACCUUUGACCCACCACCCCCCUCAUCCCACCCACCACCCUUCCAGCACACACACACGGAGAGGGGAGGGGAGAGGGAUGAGGGGGUGGUGGGUCGUUGGGGGAGUGCACCUACCCCGGCCCCCUCUUAUUUUUACAUCUCCUUUAUUCUUUUCUUGUAAUUCAAAAUCUGAAAAUUAUAAGGAAAGCAUUUAUAAUUAAACAAAAGUAAUGACAUUGAACAAAAUCUUCCUUCGCCUGAGUCUGAUGGUUUGUUUUGGUUUUGAAACUCGAUCAAUAUAUUCUGUUCAAAACAAAGAGUGAAGAACAAUUAGGGGAUAUGAAGAUGAUUAUAUUUUGAUAUUAAUAUAACAAUAAAUAUAACAUUUACCUCCAGAAGAUAGUGUCAUGUCAGAUUCCUCCAGAAGAUUAAGUUGUGUGUUUGGUUCAUCCAGACAGGUGUUCAAACUGA